CUGCACUCACCAGCCACCGCCGCGCAAUGCCGGUAUAAGCGCCCGGCGCCGCCUCUUAUAGCUCCGACCGGCACCGCCCGGAGCGUUUCUGAACUGACACCCUGUUUCAACUGUAUGACCUCAGUUUCGACCUACAACGCUUGCUCCGAUGCGACACCACGCCAGCGAACAAGUUCUCCGUGUCACCCAUCCCAUAGAUUUCAUAAUUAGGGCCGGAAGGGACCUCGGAAGAUCUCCCUGGAGAACAUCUGUCCAAACUUCCUCCGACACUUUCUUUAAGAAAGCAGACGGGACUCCAGAAAAAAACCUGCAGCCGAGACUCCUGAGAAGACUCCAG